GAUGAACGCUGGCGGCGUGCCUAAUACAUGCAAGUCGAGCGAACAGACGAGGAACUUGCUCCUCUGACGUUAGCGGCGGACGGGUGAGUAACACGUGGAUAACCUACCUAUAAGACUGGGAUAACUUCGGGAAACCGGAGCGAAUACCGGAUAAUAUAUUGAAUCGCAUGGUUCAAUAGUGAAAGACGGUUUUGCUGUCACUUAUAGAUGGAUCCGCGCCGCAUUAGAUAGUUGGUAAGGUAACGGCUUACCAAGGCGACGAUGGGUAGCCGACAUGAGAGGGUGACGGGCAACACGGGAACGGGGACACGGCCAAGACUCCUAGGGGAGGCAGCAGUGGGGAAUUUUCCGCAAUGGGGGAAAGCCUGACGGAGCAACGCCGCGUGAGUAAUGAAGGUCUUCGGAUCUUAAAACUCUGUUAUUAGGGAAGAACAAAUGUGUAAGUAACUAUGCACGUCUUGACGGUACCUAAUCAGAAAGCCACGGCUAACUACGUG
rnacentral:rRNA from 1 species